GACAGAGGAUGCAAACGUUGCUCGGAUUUACUGGGCGUAAAGCGCGCGCAGGCGGUCUUGUAAGUCGGACGUGAAAGCCCGGGGCUCAACUUCGGAAGUGCGUCCGAUACUGGGAGGCUUGAAUCCGGGAGAGGGAUGUGGAAUUCCAGGUGUAGCGAUGAAAUGCGUAGAUAUCUGGAGGAACACCGGUGGCGAAGGCGGCAUCCUGGACCGGUAUUGACGCUGAGGCGCGAAAGCUAGGGGAGCAAACGGG
rnacentral:rRNA from 1 species